rnacentral:rRNA from 1 species
GGACCUGACUGCUAUCGGAUUGCUACUAAGCCAUGCGAGUCAUUGUAGUAAUACAAGGCAGACGGCUCAGUAACGCGUAGUCAACCUACCCUAUGGACGGGGAUAACCUCGGGAAACUGAGAAUAAUACCCGAUAGAACAUUAUGCCUGGAAUGGUUUAUGUUUCAAAUAAUUUAUUGCCGUAGGAUGGGACUGCGGCCUAUCAGUUUGUUGGUGAGGUAAUGGCCCACCAAGACUAUUACAGGUACGGGCUCUGAGAGGAGUAGCCCGGAGAUGGGUACUGAGACACGGACCCAGGCCCUAUGGGGCGCAGCAGGCGAGAAAACUUUGCAAUGUGCGAAAGCACGACAAGGUUAAUCCGAGUGGUUUCUGCUAAAGGAACCUUUUGUCAGUCCUAGAAACACUGAUGAAUAAGGGGUGGGCAAGUUCUGGUGU